UGUAGCCAAAUCGGCUCAACAGCUAAUCUCAAGCGUUGCCACAUGAUUUAUGCGCACAUCCUGGACCACUUGAGUACAUGGCAUCGCUGCUGCUGCUGCUGUUGCUGCUGCUGCUGCCGCUGCUACUGCUACUUUUGCUGUUUAUCAACACUGAUAACUGCUCAUAAAAGAAAAGAAUACGAUUUUAAUUUCUUCUAAAAUUGAUUAGAUCCUUUUUUACUUUCUUUUCGUUUACUCUCCCCACUCUUUAUGUGUCUCUCUCUCUCUCUCUCUCACUCUCUUUUUUGUGGUGCUGCUCCUAAUGUUUGCGUUGUUGAUGUUAUUGUUGUUGUCGCUGUUGAUAUGCCCAGCUUUACGUUUAUCUAUCCACAAAAAAACAAAACAAAAUUUUACUCACGCAUUGAUUUGAAAUUUUCUGCUUUCCUUUCCGAAAAAAAAUCAAAAAUGAAAAUGAAAACCAAUGAAUAUCAAAACCCAAUGAAAUCUAACAAAUUGCGCAUAAAUCAAAACUCGAAUCGAUCCGAACAACCGAUUCCGCAAAUCCGAAAAUCCAACCGAAAUAUCACAAACGAAUGGUGUGUGUUGCUCGUUUUGAUCGUAAUCGUUAUCGUAUUUCGUAUACCGAUCUACACACAUUCUAAACACUUUACUCACACACACGCACACACACACACACACGCAUACGCACAUACACUCACAUGCGCGCAUUUCCAUUCGCCACCAAAGCGCAUUUCAUUGGGCAUGCUGCGCAGCGAUCUGAUGCUGGAGUCCCGCUGUCCGGAGUUGUCGCCCCUGUUGGAGACGAGCGCUGGCGCUGGCAAUGAUGCGAAGGAGGGGCAGAAGCAGAAGGAGCGAAUGGCGGACGCGAAGGCGAGCACGAAGGCGGGAAAGGCAAAUCCGACUGCCCAGCCGGGCAUUCAGCGCAGCGCUAGCUCCUCAUAUUGCUGCUGGAAACAAGUUGAGAUCAAUACGAUAGCAUCGGGUUUUGGCCAUUUGGGACCAGCAAGUAAAACCAUACAAAGGCUUAUAGCGUCGGUCUAUUACGUUCUGACUAUUUGGCUCACGUGUACGAGGGCUGUGCAAUAAAGCAGGUUGAAAUCAACACGAUUGCCUCCAGUUUCGGUGGCAUUGCUACACACUUGGUGCCUCUGCAAAACUUCGUCCUGCGAGAACUUGGACAUGCUGAGAAAUUGAAGCAAGUG
rnacentral:misc_RNA from 1 species